AUGAUGGCGGAGACCAAGGCGGUGGCUGCUGCGGUGCCGGUGGAGGCGAGUCCGGUGGAGGUGGGGAGGAGCAGGACGGUGGCUGCUGCGGUGCCGGUGGAGGCGAGCACGGUGGAGGUGGAGGUGGGGAGGGGCAAUACGGUGGCUGCUGCGGUCGAGACGAGUCCGGUGGAGGGGAGGAGCAAGACGGUGGCCGCUGCGGUGGAGGUGGGGGAGGGGAGGAGCAAGACGGUGGUGCUGGUUGCCGUGGACGACAGCGACGCAAGCUACCGCGCGCUCGAGUGGGCCGUGCGGCACGUGGCGGCGACGGCCGGCAUGGCCGGCGCCGGAGCGGUGGAGCUCGUUGUCCUCCACGCCAAGCCGCCCACUUCCCUCGCCGUCAACAUGGGCGGCCCCGGCGUGCCCGGCGACGUGGUGGGGUUAGUGGAGGAGGACCUGCGCAAGAAGGCCGAGGGCGUCGUCGGCAAGGCGCGCAGCCUCUGCGCCGCCAACUCGGUGGAGGCUGUGGUGGACGUGGUCGACGGGGAGCCGAAGCACGUCCUGUGCGACGCCGUCGAGAAGCACCGCGCCGAUCUGCUCGUCGUCGGCAGCCAGGGCUACGGCGCCAUCAGGAGGGCAUUGCUUGGGAGCGUGAGCGACUACUGCGCACACCACGCCGACUGCUCUGUGGUGAUUGUCAAGCAGCCCGGGUCCAAGAACUGA
rnacentral:rRNA from 1 species